rnacentral:lncRNA from 1 species
GGACCAUCGACCCCGAAGGUGGGCGUAGCCGAGGCUGCCUCAACUUCCCAGGUCCCUUCCAGCGCUGGCAACGGCCGGCGCAGCCAAAUUCCCCAGGGAGCCCCAUCGACCUCCGGGCUGGUGGGCGCAGGGGUCUUGCCCUCCAAGGCGGGACCCUCGCUGGUAACUUCCCGCUCGCAAGAGCACGUGUCCGGCGCCUCACAAGAGGCAAUGGACACUACACCCAUCCUCAAGGUGCA